GAUGAACGCUGGCGGCGUGCCUAAUACAUGCAAGUCGAGCGAACGGACGAGAAGCUUGCUUCUCUGAUGUUAGCGGCGGACGGGUGAGUAACACGUGGAUAACCUACCUAUAAGACUGGGAUAACUUCGGGAAACCGGAGCUAAUACCGGAUAAUAUUUUGAACCGCAUGGUUCAAAAGUGAAAGACGGUCUUGCCGUCACUUAUAGAUGGAUCCGCGCUGCAUUAGCUAGUUGGUAAGGUAACGGCUUACCAAGGCAACGAUGCAUAGCCGACCUGAGAGGGUGAUCAGCCACACUGGAACUGAGACACGGUCCAGACUCCUACGGGAGGCAGCAGUAGGGAAUCUUCCGCAAUGGGCGAAAGCCUGACGGAGCAACGCCGCGUGAGUGAUGAAGGUCUUCGGAUCGUAAAACUCUGUUAUUAGGGAAGAACAUAUGUGUAAGUAACUGUGCACAUCUUGACGGUACCUAAUCAGAAAGCCCCGGCUAACUACGUG
rnacentral:rRNA from 1 species